rnacentral:rRNA from 1 species
AACGAACGCUGGCGGCAGGCUUAACACAUGCAAGUCGAGCGGUAAGGCUCCUUCGGGAGUACACGAGCGGCGAACGGGUGAGUAACACGUGAGCAAUCUGCCCUUCACUUUGGGAUAACUUCCGGAAACGGAAGCUAAUACCGAAUACGACCACUUCAGGCAUCUGAUGGUGGUGGAAAGUUCCGGCGGUGAAGGAUGAGCUCGCGGCCUAUCAGCUUGUUGGUGAGGUAACGGCUCACCAGGGCUUCGACGGGUAGCCGGCCUGAGAGGGUGACCGGCCACACUGGGACUGAGACACGGCCCAGACUCCUACGGGAGGCAGCAGUGGGGAAUAUUGGACAAUGGGCGAAAGCCUGAUCCAGCAACGCCGCGUGAGGGAUGACUGCCUUCGGGUUGUAAACCUCUUUCAGCGGGGACGAAGCGAAAGUGACGGUACCCGCAGAAGAAGCACCGGCCAACUACGUGCCAGCAGCCGCCGUAACAC